AGGCGACUGGCGAGACCCGAAG
rnacentral:miRNA from 1 species